AUACUUACCUAGACGGGGUCAAAUGGGUGGUCCAUAAGGCCCAUGUCUUAGGAUGGUAGCCUCCAUUGCACAUGAAGGAGGGGUGCCAGCCUAAGGUCUUCCCUAGUGGAAGAGCCUAUGUCAAUAUUUGUUGCACUGGGGGCUGCACAAGCGCUGCCCGUG